ensembl:lncRNA
AUGGUUGGACUAGAUUUUAGUGGUCUUUCUAACCUUUAUGAUUCUAAGAUAUUAUGUCUUAAAACCAGACAGACUAGGAGUUUGACAGUAUGACUAUUAAGCAGUCAGAGGCUAACAGUGCUACAAUAAAUGCAUCAAGUGACAGCCCAGCUGUCACUCUGCAUCACAUGACUAGAUAACACAAGAGGUUGGGUCUGCAGAUGAUGCUGAUGCAAACAAGGAGGCUGAAGCAAUUAUCAGUGGUCAACCUGUGGGUACCUUCAAGGAAUAGGGCAGGGUUUGGCCUCCUCUUCAGUGGCCAGCUGUCCCUGGAGCACCCUGCCUGCCAAGAGGAGGGACAAACACUGUGCCAGACACAUUCCAUCCCAGCCUCUAAUUUAAAACUGGGGAGUUUAUCUGUGCUCUGCACCCUCAGCUUUUUGUUUCCGGAGCCUAGCUGCUGCCUCUCACAUACUCCCUCCUUCCCUACAUUUUUUUUUUUUUAUAGCUGUGAAGCAGCAAACAGAAUGUAUACAACUUCAAUAAGAAGUACGAGUAGAAGGACAUUGCAUGAUCAGAAAGUUCAUUAAGAUGCAAAUUUGGCAGCAGAAAUUAUUAGCCCUGAUAAUUCCUUGAAAUUAUUUGACAAAACUGUCAAUGAUUAAAGGCUUGUGUCAAGAAAAGCCUGACAUGCCAUAACAGAAGUUUGAGUGCUGCAGCUAAACUGAACAGUACACAAUCAACCUGAAUAUAUCUGUCCUAAAAAGAAAAUGGCUCGGUGAAUCUUCAGCUCUAACGGGAAAGAUAUGAAGAAGAAAAUGCCUGUUCUGGCUUCAAAAACUCUCUCUCAUCUCUGCUUGACAGAUGCAGUCAUGUCUGUGGGCUGAGCUCAACAAGAGAGCAUUUCAAUUGCAUGCAGUAAUAUUUCCCCUAACAGCUUAUUCACUUAGAGCAGCUCCCAUGAUGUGCAACUCCAUCCAUAGUAUAUUCAUUUAGUUUUCAAAUGUAACAGAACUUGCUUUACAUUUGCAUGCAUUUGAAUUUCAAUGUUGACAUGAAAAAUACUGGAACUAGUUAUAAAAGAACAGACGUAUUUGCCCACUUACCUUUUUUAUGACUAAGAAAUCCCAUUGAGAAACUGCAGUGAUUGGCAGCUUCUGAUAGUUACUUAAAAAGAGAUUAAGGUACUUCGGCUGGGGCCAACUUAUAGCCUUCUGCAGGCAAUCAAAAUUCCCAUGAAAUCAUUAAGACCAGUAAAGAGGCUUACUUCCCUCCCAUUUACCUCAAAAUCUACAGUUCCCAGCUGUAUCUUUACAACUCUCACAAACUAUUCUCAGCAAAAUGGGCACUUCCCUGUGCUCCUCAGAUGCUUUCUGACAGGUGCAUUAAAUACCGAUUCUCACUUCCGUAGACCAGGCACUAAAAAUGGAUCUCUGUCUGUAGAGGGAGAAUAUUGGUGAGAAACUGGAGAGUUGUCAAACUCAUACAGGAACAGUCAACAUGUUAUGCACCAUGCAAAGGUGUAUAUGAAAACUGUAUAUGUAAAGUUGGAACACAUUGUCCAGAGGGAUUCCAUAAUGUUCAUCUUCAGAGGUUUAUAGACUUGCUUAGAUAAAGCCUUCAGAGGUCUGACCUUGUUUUCAGCAUGUGUUGUGUUAGAGGCCUUUUGAGAUCCCUUCUGACAUAAAUGAUUGCCUAAAUGGUGCUUCAGUUGGAUAAUUUAUUACAGUGGUACGUUUUACUUUGAAAUUUCAGUGGAAAUUCUCCAUAGAUUGCCAUGUCUGCUUCUUUUUCUUUUCAAAAACUGUAGCAAUUUCUCUUACAUGAAUUACUUUUGUUUCCUUCCCCACUUGAUAUGCUUUUCAUUUAGGGUCAAAGAAACUUCUACCUUUUAUCCCAAUAUUGUGGUACUUUGUGGCAAUACAAAUUUCAGCUAGACUCUCCCAGGUACUCCUCCCUCCUCCUUCUCCUAUCACUUUAUCUCUAACAUUUUCAAAUCUUGUGACAUGAUCAAACUCAUUCAUAAAUAUACCUGGCCUCUAAAUCAGUAGAUGUCAUUGUUCACUGUAGCCUUUACACGUGAUCUGCUAGAAUCAGUGGGAGUAGCUAAAAAAAAUCUUCUUUUUUCUUUUUUCCUCCUCAAGGUUUCUUAUAGUUAUUAAUGCUGUUGUGAAAGAGCCUGCAAGACUCGUUUCUAUCUUACGCACAUGAAUCUUUCUUAUGCUAUAUUUCUGCGUUAGUGGGGCAAAAGUCUUUUCUCUGCCAUACUAUGGAGAUUGUCAUAAAAUGAUGGUGAUUUAUUUUUCAUGCUACUGCUCAUCAAGCAAACAAUCAUUUACAUGAAAAUUUACAAAUGUCUUCCAUGAAGUCACCCCAGGGCUUCACCAAAAUCACUACCAAUCAGUGACAGUAAAAUAAUAAUGUAAAUUACAUGAGGAGACUUUUCAUAUAUGUUACAAAACUUCACACAGACAGUGAAGAUGCAUGGUCUCUAGUGCUCCUCUUUUCAUUCUUGCUCCACUAUAUUACUGCCUUAAAUAAUGGAGAACCAUCACUGUAUAAGCUCUCCAGCAGGCAGCCAACAUCUGCCCAGCUAAAUAGAGCUCAAUCCAGGGACUCCUAAUCUGUUAGCUUAGAAUACAUGCUGGACAGAUGUGAUCUAGAUAGAACUUCUACAUAGAAAAUGUAUUAUAGAUAUGAAUAGUAAAUUAUGUUGGCUUAAUAAACAAUUAUUAAAAAUAUCUUUACAGAGUCAGUGAAUGGCUUUUUGUUUGCAGUGCUCACAUGGUGAAGCAAACUGGAAAUUCUGUGACUGCUUGAACAAUCUUUCAGAAAAAUAUAAUAGAUUAUUCCUGGAAAGGAUUAUUAGAGUCCACAGGACAGCCUGUCUCAGUUAUUCAGAAUGACAUUUUAGUCUCACUGAGACCAAGAGCAGAAUUUCUUGUGACUGCAAAGUUUUUUUUAAAAUAUUAGAUUUACACUUCUGCUUUUCAAUUUCCCAAGGAUCUACACACUGCUAUGUUGACCAUGCCAAAGAUAGGCUGGAAGGGAGAUGAGGACUGAGUGUAGUUGCCAAGUUUAGAUGGAUUUCAGCAUUAACAAUGCACAUCACCUUAUUAAGUUUGUGGCAAGGUUUUGCUAGCAGGGGACUGCAGGAGUGGCUUCUGUGAGCAGAACUCAGCGCUUCCCCAUGUCAGAGCACAGCAGCUGCUCCAGCAGGUACCUGCCACUGCUAGAGCUUUCAUGAGUGAUGCUGGGUCUACUCAGGGAGAGCAGAUUUAAGAAAGGGAAACACUGCUGCAUUACAGCAAGUGGGAGAGAGGAGUGAGAAAUGGGAGAGAAGCAGCCCUGGAGCCACCAAGGUCAAUGUAGGAGGGCAGGCUGUGCUCCAGGUGCAGAGCAGAAGCUCCCUAGACAGGCCUGUGGUAGACCAGACUGUCCCCCUGCAGCCCAUGGACACCAUAUGGAGCAAAUCUCUGCAUGCAACCAUGGAGGAGACCACAAGCAGUAGAAGAUGGGGGUCUGAAUGAACCACAGCCCACAGGUACCCCUCUAGGAGAAGCUCCAGAAUGGAGCAGCAGCCUGUGGAGAGCAGCCCAUAGUGGGACAGUGCAGUUCUGAAGGAUUGGCCCCACGCUAUGGAGCUGGAGCCAUGUUGGUGCUGUGCUUGAAGAGCUACAGGAAGCCCACGCAGGAUCAGUUUGGAGGGAACCCACUCUAGAAUAGAAGCAGAGAGUGACCGUGAAGGAGUGGCAGGGAUGAAGUGUUAUGGGCUGACUGCAGCCCCCACUCCCCUGCACAACUUGAGGGGAGGAGGUAGAAGAGGAUGGAUGGGGGAAGAUGUUUUUAAUGUGCUUGUAGUUUCUCACUGCUCUAGUCUGUUAUCAACUGGCAAUAAUAAUUACAUUAGUCUCCCUAUGCCAAAUCUUUUUUGACUGUGAUGACAAUUGAUGAGGAAUCUACAGGUCCUUAUCUCAACCCAUGAGCUUAUUAUUAUCAUAUUACCUCCCCGUAUCAUUUUGAAGGAGAGAGAAAGCAGCAUGGUGGAGCUUACCUAUCAGUGCUAAACCACCUCUAAUUCACAUACAGAUACAUGAGAAAGGGAAGGUAAUGCCAUGCAGGACACACACAAAAAAAGUGGAUGUAACUCAGUCCUGAGCAAGAUUGCAACUUGAAUGCAUGCUCUCAUUCCAAACUUGUUUUAGACUCUAAGAAAGGUCCAUAAUAUUGAAGAGAGUUUAAAUCUUGGAGGCUGAUUUCCUGGUUCCCAGGGCUUUCUUUUUGGUGAACUACAUAGCCUCUUAUCCCAAAACUCUACAGCAGGGGGGUGGAAAUAAACCAAGCUAGAAUAUGAAAAUAAUACUUUUUGCUAUAUAAAAAGACAAACAAAUUCAUAAAGGGAUAAAGUUCUUUAUCUUAGAAUUCAGAUUUGAAGCAAUCUAUCUCACGCACGGCUGGAAAGGGUACUUGGCAACUCAGCAUUAUAUAGGAGAAUGCAAACUGAUAUGGAUGUAAUGCUAUAACUUGAAGGACAGUGCAACAAUAAUUACAGCUGAACAAUCCUAGGCUACAGCAAAUGAGAACAAGCCCAAAUACAUCAGCCAUAGACACACAAAUAGAUGAAGAAAACCACUUACCUUUAGAAGACCUCCAGUAGACAAGGAUCCCCAGUAAAAUGUACUUAUCUCCACUGCCAACACUUAAAUGAGGUCUGGAAAGGGGAGGAUCCUGGCUCCACCCCUUCCCUUCACUCAGAUUCAUUGCACGCACCUGCCUUCUUACCAGGUGCUCAAUCACUGGCUCAGGGUUAGCAUUUCUGCUACGUAUGAUCAAAAAAUGUAUGGAUAAUUCUUAAUAUAAACAUAGUCUGCAUACCAAGAUAAAUCGUUUUUUACCCUACCUACUCUUCUCCAUAGGAGUCCUGGGCUGCAUCUGCUUGUUCAGCUUUCUUUGGGCUUGAGGCUACUUGUUUUGCUGCAAAUUAUACCACCUUAUUUUUCAGCUCUACUUGUAUGAUCGAGAAAGGUUAAUGAUCUGACUAAAUUUGGGCAUAUUAAAAAAUGUCUUAAAGUGUGCUUCUUGCUAUCAUUUUCAUGUCUCUGCUCUAAAACACAGAUAGUUAUAAAGAAUAGUUGUCACAUUUCGUAAUUUACUUUUGAAAGAAACUAAUUUCAAUUCUCUUUCCAUUUAGAAAAAGAGAACAUCUUCAGGUGAAAAUUUUGAGACAAAAAGUUCACACUCAGGACAAACCCUGCUUAGUUCAUAGUGGGACAAAAUAAUUAGGAAGCAUAGAUCAUGGUAACCUAGGGGAAUCUCAGUGGCGUACCAUAUAUUUUCAUGAUUUGGAGCGUUUGACACCUUAAUUUCAUUUGAAGUAACUCCAUAACCAUGUUAACUCAGGACUGUAGAAUCAAAAAUGUUGCCAUCUGGCAAGCUUCCUGCUCAUAGUAAAACUACUGCCAACAGAGGAGCAAGUUUGCCAGGGCUUUGAGUCUUGAAGACCUCCAAGGAUAGAGACACAUGACCUGUCUGAAGUACCUGUUCAAAUCGUGAACUAUUCCAUUAGGAAAAGAAAGAUUUUCCUUAGGUCCUUAGCUAUUAGUUUGCAGUAAAUGUGGUGAGGAUAUAGUGCCCAUGCAGGGAGUCUCUGCACCCUUGGUUGUAGAACUUCACAUUCUGUGUUCAGUAUCAGAAAAUUUCUGUUGUUUCGGUCUUUAGACUUAUCAAGGUCCACCUGGACUGAAACUCUGCUGUUUAUUGUGUCACCUCUAAUUUGUUAUCCACACAUUUGCUGAACAUGUAUUUCAUGUCACUUAUGUUACUUAUAAUGAACAUAAAUGCUUUGCUGGUAUUAACGCUUGCUUUAUUGGUGUAAUGGAACGUACAUUUCAAUCUGUAAGUUUUGUAACAAAUUCAUAUUUUGAAUUCUGGAAGGUGAAUCUGUAACAUGCUAUGCAGCUUUUGCAAGCAAGGCAAAUAAAG